rnacentral:rRNA from 1 species
GACGAACGCUGGCGGCGUGCCUAAUACAUGCAAGUAGAACGCUGAAGAGAGGAGCUUACUCUUCUUGGAUGAGUUGCGAACGGGUGAGUAACGCGUAGGUAACCUGCCUUGUAGCGGGGGAUAACUAUUGGAAACGAUAGCUAAUACCGCAUAACAAUGGAUGACACAUGUCAUUUAUUUGAAAGGGGCAAUUGCUCCACUACAAGAUGGACCUGCGUUGUAUUAGCUAGUAGGUGAGGUAAUGGCUCACCUAGGCGACGAUACAUAGCCGACCUGGGAGGGUGAUCGGCCACACUGGGACUGAGACACGGCCCAGACUCCUACGGGAGGCAGCAGUAGGGAAUCUUCGGCAAUGGGGGCAACCCUGACCGAGCAACGCCGCGGGAGUGAAGAAGGGUUUCGGAUCGUAAAGCUCUGUUGUAAGUCAAGAACGGGUGUGAGAGUGGAAAGUUCACACUGUGACGGUAGCUUACCAGAAAGGGACGGCUAACUACGUG